AUUAUUAUCAUUUGCCCACCUUUUACGUUUCCUUCCCCCACAUUUAACGUUUUUCAGUUCCGUUUUUUUUUUUUUCAUUUUCUCACCAAAUCCAGAAACACAAAUCACCGUUUGUUCAACAAAUAUCUGUUUUAAUUGAAGGAAUAUCUUGUUUGGAAAAGAUUUUCUGUUUGUUCAACAAAUCUCCAUCUUAAUUCAUGGAGUAUCUUGUGUUGGUAAAAGUAAUCUCGUGAAUGUACAUAAAUAUUUGACAAUGAAACACCUCCACAACAUAGCAAGAUUAACGUUGAUUUUGAGGACAUUAAUACGAUUCAAAUAGAUUAGUCAUUGUCUAUUUUUGUAUCUUCAGUAUUUUGGUUAAUAGACAUUGAUUUUGGUAGCAUUUUACUUUGUUAAGGAAGCUUCCAAUGUUAUGAUGUUCUGGUAAUUUUACAUUUAAAGUUUUGA